UUUCCGUAGGUGAACCAGCGGAAGGAUCAUUAAUAAUAAGUGAAUUACUGCACUUUUUUAAGAUAGUACCCACCUUGUGUGCAAUCUUGUGUUUCUUUUCGGAGAAACACCUACACCAACCUAUAACCUAGAACCACUUUGUCUGAGAAACUAUUAUGAAUACUUAAUUCAAAAUACAACUUUCAACAACGGAUCUCUUGGCUCUC
rnacentral:misc_RNA from 1 species